rnacentral:lncRNA from 10 species
UGUGCGACAGAAGUGGCCACAUGGAAACGUAGGUAGCUUCUUUUUCCUUCUCCACUUAAACACUGGCUUUAUUCAGUGACUGCCCUUCCUGGAGUCGGAGUUGACUGAACUGCUCAGUGACUUUCCACCUCGUUUCCAAGCGACAGGAAGCCAGGUUUUCCUCUGUUUACGUAUUUCUUCCGGACUUCUCUUACAACCUGGGAUGGCCUGAAGAGCGUUUGAGAGGCUGAGAUGAAGAGUUUUACUCCUUUUGUCCACAUGCCGCAUGGAGACGCAUGACUGAGAUGGAAACCACAGUAUCCUGCUGGACUUCUCUGCUUUCCCCCGAGGAGCUCCUUUCAUGCCUCCACCACGGAGCCAGUGCUGUGAUGGAGGAAGAGGAAGGGCGAGCCCUCUCCUUCCCCUUUCCUCCCUUUGGUAUCACAUUUAUUAGGGUCCGUACCUGGGAGUCUUACUGGUGAUGAUGAAGAAAUGCUUUUCAAGAUUUACUUAACAGCAGUUAUUGACGGAACACUCUCACCCACAGCGAUGACUUAAUGAGAGGCUACACUGUGUGCUCGGGGUGACCAACGGUACCCAGACACCAACCCUGCCCAACGGGGGCUUCAACCCCAUGCUAUGAAGGCCAGAUUCACAGAAAAGUGUCGGUUACAGACAAGGACGUGAUGAGCUUGGAAACACUGCUGCGAUCCCAUGGAAGGUGGCCUGAGUUCAGCACAGACAUGAGCACUUCACGGAUGGGGAAGUGAAAAGCUGAGUGGACUUUAGGGCUUUGGCACCAGCUGGGACAUGUCAUCUGCCUUGCAGUGUCCAGAACAGGGACAAAGAACAGGCUGGCACCUGGUCUGGGUGUGCCUAUUGGGUCACAUAGAGACCUCUCUGAUGGGCACCUGGCCUGGGCAUGGCUGUCUAGUCACACAGGAACCUCCCUUCUGAUGGGCACCUGGCCUGGGCAUGGCUGUCGGGUCACACAGAGACCUCUCUGAUGGGCACCUGGCCUGGGCAUGGCUGUGCAGUCACCCAGGGACCUUUCUCUGAUGAGGAACAGCAUGGCGGUCCAUCACCUGGAUGGCUUCGUCCAGAUGGGACAGGAUGGACGAGAGGAGGCCACCACAGUGGGAUCUUGCUUCCCAGGACUGGGACAGGGACAUCUCUGGAGACUGCCGUCCUCCUCACCUGUAACCAUUCACAGCUUCCCAGGACUGGGACAAGGACAUCUCUGGAGACUGCUGUUCCCCGAUACUUGCUUUACAACUUGGAAUUUGAGCUCUGAAGCCCGCAAAAGAAUGAGUCCUUGCUGAUGGGACACUGGCAGUGGCCUCCAGGGAGUGGCCUGUGACUGAGGUCCCUUGAUCUGCUUGUGGAUCUGCCGCUACAUCUUUGGAGUUGAAACAGACACAAUGGGAAUCCACCCGUCAACUCUCAUCAUCAAUACAUUUCCGGUUCCCUAGAGGCCAUGGCUGAAAAUCUAGCUGGAAAUCAUUUUAUGGAUGAAUGCCGGCUAACACCGUGGGGUUCCAGGUUCUGUGCUAGGUGGUCUGUCUAGGUGAGAGCACUAAAUGUUCACUAUGAGCCUGGAAGGAGGAGGACCCCAUGACGCCCUUUCUGUAGAUAAGCAAACUGCGCUAAAGGUGGUGAUGACUCGCCCACUUCAGCCAGUGACCCGGCAGAAGGCACAUCCCUGAACCAGGCUCCAGUGGGUGCGACUGUGCCUGAGGAGUUGUCUGGGGCUUUUUGUGGCAGCAGCCCAGGGAUCAGGUGA